GGAUGUGAGGGUGAUCUGGCUGCGACAUCUGUCAGCCCAGUGAUCACCAGGGUUGAUUUGGCUGAUCUGGCGGGCUAGGCGGGUGUGCCCUUCCUCCAUCACUGCUCCUUGUGCGUCCCUCUCAAAGCUGUGCUCUCACUCGGCCAGAGAGGACUACGGCCUUCCCCGAAUAGAGAUGGACUGGUCUUCCAUUGAGGGUAUACGAGUAGCUGCGCUCCCCUGCUAGAACCUCCAAACAAGCUCUCAUGGUCCAUAGUACGGCUGUUAUAAAGAGGGCAGUUGCAAACACAGGGCUGCAUAUGUCUGUUUGACUGAGU
rnacentral:snRNA from 1 species